rnacentral:rRNA from 1 species
CGGAGAGUUUGAUCCUGGCUCAGGAUGAACGCUGGCGGCGUGCCUAACACAUGCAAGUCAAGGAGAAAGAGAUAGCAAUAUCUUGAGUAAACUGGCGAACGGGUGAGUAACACGUAGACAACUUACCUCGAGAACGGGAAUAACUCCGCGAAAGCGGUGCUAAUACCCGAUAUUGUUCUGAUGUGGCAUCACAUCAGAAUGAAAGGUCCCAAAAGGACGUCUCGAGAUGGGUCUGCGUCCCAUUAGAUAGUUGGCGGGGUAACAGCCCACCAAGUCUGCGAUGGGUAGCUGGUCUGAGAGGACGACCAGCCACACUGGAACUGAGACACGGUCCAGACUUCUACGGAAGGCAGCAGUGAGGAAUAUUGCUCAAUGGGCGAAAGCCUGAAGCAGCGACGCCGCGUGAGGGAUGAAAUCCGUUAGGAUGUAAACCUCUUUUAUGAGAGACGAAAAAGAUGCCAUGAGCAUCUCAUGACGGUAUCUCAGGAAUAAGGAUCGGCCAACUACGUGCCAGCAGCCGCGGUAAUACGUAGGAUCCGAGCGUUGUCCGGAAUUACUGGGUGUAAAGGGUCUGCAGGCGGGCAAGCAAGUCGGUGGUGAAAUCUCUCCGCUCAACGGAGAAACUGCCUUCGAUACUGCUUGUCUUGAGUUCGAGAGAGGGUAAUGGAAUUCAUGGUGUAGCGGUGAAAUGCGUAGAUAUCAUGAAGAACACCAGUUGCGAAGGCGAUUACCUGGCUCGACACUGACGCUCAGGGACGAAAGCGUGGGGAUCAAACAGGAUUAGAUACCCUGGUAGUCCACGCCUUAAACGAUGGAUGUUCGAUGUCAGUCCGUAAGGAUUGGUGUCUGAGCUAACGCGUUAAACAUCUCACCUGGGGAGUACGAUCGCAAGGUUGAAACUCAAAGGAAUUGACGGGGGCCCGCACAAGCAGUGGAGCAUGUGGUUCAAUUCGAUGCAACGCGAAGAACCUUACCUGGGUUUGAAAGGCAAGCGACAGGCGAUGAAAGUCGCUCUCGUAGCAAUACGCGCUUGUACAGGUGCUGCAUGGCUGUCGUCAGCUCGUGCCGUGAGGUGUUAGGUUAAGUCCUGCAACGAGCGCAACCCCUGCACUUAGUUGCCAGCAAGUAAUGUUGGGCACUCUAAGUGGACUGCCUACGCAAGUAGCGAGGAAGGUGGGGAUGACGUCAAGUCCUCAUGGCCCUUACACCCAGGGCCACACACGUGCUACAAUGGCCACUACAAAGGGUUGCCAAGGCGCAAGCCGGAGCCAAUCCCAAAAAAGUGGUCUCAGUUCGAAUUGGGGUCUGCAACUCGACCCCAUGAAGCUGGAAUUGCUAGUAAUCGCGGAUCAGCACGCCGCGGUGAAUACGUUCCCGGGCCUUGUACACACCGCCCGUCAAGCCAUGGAAACUGGGGGUACCCGAAGUCGGUACGCGAACCGCAAGGACGCAGCCGCCUAAGGUAAAACCAGCGACUGGGGCUAAGUCGUAACAAGGUAGCCGUACCGGAAGGUGCGGCUGGAUCACCUCCUUUCUAAGGAGCU